AUCAGUCAACCUUAUCUCUUUUUCAUUCUCCUCCGCCACUUACUCUCUCCAUUUUCUCUGUGAACAUGUAACCCUAACCUAUUAUAUGUGUUUUGUGUCUAUCUUACAUCUUCUAAAAUUUCUGCAACAAAUCGAAACGCGAUCUGAUCGAAGAAGAAGAAAUUUUGUUUUUCUAUUUCUGUUUAUACUUACUCGGAACAACAACUAACUGAAUCUAUGAACUGAUUUCAGUUUCAAUUGUUUUUUGUUUGAUAGAUUAUGAGUUACUUUUGAUGAGAUAUUUCUAAUCUUGUUUUUCUAUGUGAUUUAUUAGGUUAUUUCGAAGGAGAACGAGUAGAGGAGAAACCCUAAAUUUAUCAGCAAGAAGAGAAGAAAUCCUAGCCUCUAUUUUGGAACCAAAGUGAGUUCUUCUUCGGUUUUCUUGGUGAAGUCAAUCUUUCAACUCAUGUUGUUGUGAAGGUUAUAUAUAAAUCUGAAGGAGGAGUAUAGAUUUUCUGAGUAGUAUUUUUUUUGGUGGUUUGCCGAAUCAUUAAGAUGAAGCUAUAGAAUGUUGGACUCAUAGAUCUCAAUAACUACGGCAAGAAGAAGUUUUAAGGAUCAACAAACUUUAAAAUGGAGGAAAACUAUGGAGCUAAGGUGGGGGGCAUGUGUGGACUGCAGAAUAUUGGGAGAACGAAAGACAAAGAAUGACGUAACUCGGAAGGAGUUAUCUUUGCUUCUAUUCCAACAACAUUAUUUUGGAUGGCUUAUAUUGCUUGUUCGUUGCUUACAUGGAGUUGAUGGGGUCAGUUAUCUCUCAUUACAAGGAAUCAGUAACACCUCCAAGGAAUCAACCUGUCUAAUUUUAGGCCAUUUGGAAGGCUUUGGCAGGACUACUUUUAAUUCUUUACCAAUCAGUGAAUGACGGAAGUUAAUGGUUGCAUGAGAUUGGAACAAUCUAUACUUUGGUCUAAAAUUGAUUCCGGUGUUUAGAAAUUUUGCGAACAUGUCAAUGGUUAAGUACUAUGAAAAACAGACAACUUUAACACCUUAUGCUCCGUUGAGCACACAGCUCCCAAAAGAGGGGUGAAGGCACCAGUGGCGGCAAAGAAGAAGACCGAUAAGGUUGUGAACCCUUUAUUUGAAAAGCGUCCAAAAUAGUUUGGUAUUGGUGGUGCAUUGCCUCCAAAAAGGAUUUGCAUAGGUUCGUGAAAUGGCCAAAAGUUUCCGCAUUCAACGCCAAAGGAGGAUUUUAAGCAAGUUCGAAGGUUCCACCUGCUUUGAACCAGUUCCCAAAGACCUUAGAUAAAAACCUUGGAAAACGACAAAGUUGGAGGACGAUUUAUAUAGUUCGGUUACAUAUUACUUGGAAUGCUUUUUGGACCUGCAACUGCUGGAAGAGGAGAAUCGUAUUUGUUGAACAAAAGAGAAGGUCAAUUCAUUGCCUGGCAUAUCGCCUAUUUUACUACCGAUCAUCUAAUUUACUGCUGGGAUCAGACGAUAGUGGAUGCUUGCCUUACAGAAGGUGCUCACUACCAGGACCUUGUUCAGGUGCAUAACUCAUAAGUGUUGCAGAUUUGAAAGACAAUCGGCACGCAAGACAAGGCAAAGACUGUUAUCUCAUGCGUGUUUGAUGCCAAUGCUGGAAUUACUUGAAAUGAUAAAUUUUCUAUGCUCGCGUUAAAUGCUCACAAAGUGUUGUCUCUGAAUUGUGCUUGGUUAAAUAAAACAAUUUUUUGGUUGCAAGUAUCAUAAUGAAUAGACCUUUGUGCUUGUAUUUCCACAAUGUAUGUAUGAGUGUUGAAAUGUGUGUCGCAGCCUGUGUUUCAGGAUAAAUUGUAUCGCAGGCCUGUAAACUGGAAGCCCAGGUCCGUUAUAAGUGGACUAUCCAUUUUUUU